GGAGUCACACGCCAUGCCAGUCCGGCGUCGCAGCCUAUAUGAUACGGCCUGUCACGCCCGGGGGGCGCGGGUUCGAGUCCCGUCCACUCCGCCA
rnacentral:tRNA from 1 species